AUCAAGGGUUUCCAUUUAUCAUACAUCAAAAAACGAAUUUUCUAGAUGAUUUCGUAGUCUUUACAGUUCAUGAUUGUGUGCGCCUUUUGGUUAGCUUUUGACUCCUGUGGUACGGCGCAUCGAUGAGACGCAAUUUGAAUUGGUGCUACGCGACGCGCGUUUGGCUGCUGGCGGUGCGUUUCCACCAAAAGCAAAGAGAAUGCGGAAGUCAUCGUGACGUCACCGCAUGACGUCAGCUUUUUGAGUCGCAGUAGCCUAUAUGGCCAGGACACGGGACGGGCAACGUGUUUGCUUAAGAAUCGUCGACCCCGUCCACCGUCGAAUGUGUUGCCUACCAAGGAAGGGGAUACUCGGGCAAGAAAAAACUUUGAGUCCAAAUUGGCAACAAGAGUUUUCUUUCUGGAAAAGUGUCGUUUUAUGCACAAUUUAUGUAUUUCUUUUAUCAAUUUAUUGUGCCUUUUACCAUUUAGUAUUGUUACAAACACAUCAUAAUUUUUAUUUAUAAGCCGAUUUAAAUGUGCUCACAUUUGCAACGGAUGCAUGGCACCUUAACACGUUGAGUCCCACGUGACCACACGUAUGGGCACAAUAACCCGUAAUUAGCACUCCCCUUGGGACUCAACGUGUUAAGAUGUUCAAUUCAACAUGUACGAAUUGAAGAACUGAAUAAACUAUUCCGAACUUUU